CCUUUGUUGCCAGCGAUUAGGUCGGGAACUCAAAGGAGACUGCCAGUGAUAAACUGGAGGAAGGUGGGGAUGACGUCAAGUCAUCAUGGCCCUUACGACCAGGGCUACACACGUGCUACAAUGGCGCAUACAAAGAGAAGCGACCUCGCGAGAGCAAGCGGACCUCAUAAAGUGCGUCGUAGUCCGGAUUGGAGUCUGCAACUCGACUCCAUGAAGUCGGAAUCGCUAGUAAUCGUGGAUCAGAAUGCCACGGUGAAUACGUUCCCGGGCCUUGUACACACCGCCCGUCACACCAUGGGAGUGGGUUGCAAAAGAAGUAGGUAGCUUAACCUUCGGGAGGGCGCUUACCACUUUGUGAUUCAUGACUGGGGUGAAGUCGUAACAAGGUAACCGUAGGGGAACCUGCGGUUGGAUCACCUCCUUACCUUAAAGAAGC
rnacentral:rRNA from 3 species